rnacentral:rRNA from 1 species
AUUGAACGCUGGCGGCAUGCUUUACACAUGCAAGUCGAACGGCAGCACGGACUUCGGUCUGGUGGCGAGUGGCGAACGGGUGAGUAAUACAUCGGAACGUGCCCAGUUGUGGGGGAUAACUACUCGAAAGAGUAGCUAAUACCGCAUGAGAACUGAGGUUGAAAGCAGGGGAUCGUAAGACCUUGCGCAACUGGAGCGGCCGAUGGCGGAUUAGGUAGUUGGUGGGAUAAAAGCUUACCAAGCCGACGAUCUGUAGCUGGUCUGAGAGGACGACCGGCCACACUGGGACUGAGACACGUCCCAGACUCCUACGGGAGGGAGCGGUGGGGAAUUUUGGACGAUGUGCCAAAGCCUGAUCCAGCAAUGCCGCGUGCAGGAUGAAGGCCUUCGGGUUGUAAACUGCUUUUGUACGGAUCGAAAAGCUUCGGGCUAAUACCCUGGAGUCAUGACGGUACCGUAAGAAUAAGCACCGGCUAACUACGUGCCAGCAGCCGCCGUAAGAC